rnacentral:rRNA from 1 species
CUGGCGGCGUGCCUAAUACAUGCAAGUAGAACGCUGAAGGAGGAGCUUGCUCUUCUGGAUGAGUUGCGAACGGGUGAGUAACGCGUAGGUAACCUGCCUGGUAGCGGGGGAUAACUAUUGGAAACGAUAGCUAAUACCGCAUAAGAGUAGAUGUCGCAUGACAUUUGCUUAAAAGGUGCAAUUGCAUCACUACCAGAUGGACCUGCGUUGUAUUAGCUAGUUGGUGAGGUAACGGCUCACCAAGGCAACGAUACAUAGCCGACCUGAGAGGGUGAUCGGCCACACUGGGACUGAGACACGGCCCAGACUCCCACGGGAGGCAGCAGUAGGGAAUCUUCGGCAAUGGACGGAAGUCUGACCGAGCAACGCCGCGUGAGUGAAGAAGGUUUUCGGAUCGUAAAGCUCUGUUGUAAGAGAAGAACGAGUGUGAGAGUGGAAAGUUCACACUGUGACGUAUCUACCAGAAAGG